GGGUCCGUAGCUCAGGUGGUUAGAGUACAUCCUUGACAUGGAUGGGGUCACAGGUUCGAGUCCUGUCGGACCCA
rnacentral:tRNA from 1 species